rnacentral:miRNA from 1 species
AUGUAGGGCUGAAAGCCAUGGG